GGUUAAGUGACUAAGCGUACACGGUGGAUGCCUAGGCAGUCAGAGGCGAUGAAGGACGUGCUAAUCUGCGAAAAGCGCCGGUGAGCUGAUAUGAAGCGUUAUCAGCCGGCGAUGUCCGAAUGGGGAAACCCGGUGCAAUUCGUUGCAUCAUCGUUAAGUGAAUCCAUAGCUUAACGAAGCGAACCAGGGGAACUGAAACAUCUCAGUACCCUGAGGAAAAGAAAUCAACCGAGAUUCCCCCAGUAGCGGCGAGCGAACGGGGAACAGCCCAGAGCCAUCAUCAGCUUGCGCAUCAGGAGAACGGUCUGGAAAGUCCGGCGACAGAGGGUGAUAGCCCCGUAUCCGAAGGUGUGCUUGUUGUGAGCUCGAUGAGUAGGGCGGGACACGUGAUAUCCUGUCUGAAGAUGGGGGGACCAUCCUCCAAGGCUAAAUACUCCUGACUGACCGAUAGUGAACCAGUACCGUGAGGGAAAGGCGAAAAGAACCCCGGCGAGGGGAGUGAAAUAGAACCUGAAACCGUGUACGUACAAGCAGUGGGAGCAUCCUUCGGGGUGUGACUGCGUACCUUUUGUAUAAUGGGUCAGCGACUUAUAUUCUGUAGCAAGGUUAACCGCAUAGGGGAGCCGCAGGGAAACCGAGUCUUAACUGGGCGUCUAGUUGCAGGGUAUAGACCCGAAACCCGGUGAUCUAGCCAUGGGCAGGUUGAAGGUUGGGUAACACUAACUGGAGGACCGAACCGACUAAUGUUGAAAAAUUAGCGGAUGACUUGUGGCUGGGGGUGAAAGGCCAAUCAAACCGGGAGAUAGCUGGUUCUCCCCGAAAGCUAUUUAGGUAGCGCCUCGUGACGUCAUCUACGGGGGUAGAGCACUGUUUCGGCUAGGGGUCCAUCCCGGAUUACCAACCCGAUGCAAACUGCGAAUACCGUAGAAUGUAAUCACGGGAGACACACGGCGGGUGCUAACGUCCGUCGUGAAGAGGGAAACAACCCAGACCGCCAGCUAAGGUCCCAAAGUCAUGGUUAAGUGGGAAACGAUGUGGGAAGGCACAGACAGCCAGGAUGUUGGCUUAGAAGCAGCCAUCAUUUAAAGAAAGCGUAAUAGCUCACUGGUCGAGUCGGCCUGCGCGGAAGAUGUAACGGGGCUAAACCAUGCACCGAAGCUGCGGCAGCGACACGUAAGUGUUGUUGGGUAGGGGAGCGUUCUGUAAGCCUGCGAAGGUGGCCUGUGAGGGCUGCUGGAGGUAUCAGAAGUGCGAAUGCUGACAUAAGUAACGAUAAAGCGGGUGAAAAGCCCGCUCGCCGGAAGACCAAGGGUUCCUGUUCAACGUUAAUCGGAGCAGGGUGAGUCGACCCCUAAGGCGAGGCCGAAAGGCGUAGUCGAUGGGAAACAGGUUAAUAUUCCUGUACUGGGUGUGACUGCGAAGGGGGGACGGAGAAAGCUAGGUUCGCCGGGCGACGGUUGUCCCGGUUCAAGCGUGAAGGUGGAAUGAGCAGGCAAAUCCGCUCAUUCUCAACACUGAGGCGUGAUGACGAGCCACUACGGUGGUGAAGGAAUUGAUGCUACGCUUCCAGGAAAAGCCUCUAAGCUCCAGGUCACAUCGAAUCGUACCCCAAACCGACACAGGUGGUCAGGUAGAGAAUACCCAGGCGCUUGAGAGAACUCGGGUGAAGGAACUAGGCAAAAUGGUGCCGUAACUUCGGGAGAAGGCACGCUGGCAUGUAGGUGGAGGGCCUUGCGCCCCGAGCUGAAGCCAGUCGCAGAUACCAGCUGGCUGCAACUGUUUAUUAAAAACACAGCACUGUGCAAACACGAAAGUGGACGUAUACGGUGUGACGCCUGCCCGGUGCCGGAAGGUUAAUUGAUGGGGUUAUCGCUUGCGAGAAGCUCUUGAUCGAAGCCCCGGUAAACGGCGGCCGUAACUAUAACGGUCCUAAGGUAGCGAAAUUCCUUGUCGGGUAAGUUCCGACCUGCACGAAUGGCGUAAUGAUGGCCAGGCUGUCUCCACCCGAGACUCAGUGAAAUUGAACUCGCCGUGAAGAUGCGGUGUACCCGCGGCAAGACGGAAAGACCCCGUGAACCUUUACUAUAGCUUGACACUGAACAUUGAGCCUUGAUGUGUAGGAUAGGUGGGAGGCUUUGAAGUGUGGACGCCAGUCUGCAUGGAGCCAACCUUGAAAUACCACCCUUUAAUGUUUGAUGUUCUCACUCAGGCCCGUUAUCCGGGCCGAGGACAGUGUCUGGUGGGUAGUUUGACUGGGGCGGUCUCCUCCCAAAGUGUAACGGAGGAGCACGAAGGUUAGCUAAUCACGGUCGGACAUCGUGAGGUUAGUGCAAAGGCAUAAGCUAGCUUGACUGCGAGAGUGACGGCUCGAGCAGGUGCGAAAGCAGGUCUUAGUGAUCCGGUGGUUCUGAAUGGAAGGGCCAUCGCUCAACGGAUAAAAGGUACUCCGGGGAUAACAGGCUGAUACCGCCCAAGAGUUCAUAUCGACGGCGGUGUUUGGCACCUCGAUGUCGGCUCAUCACAUCCUGGGGCUGAAGUAGGUCCCAAGGGUAUGGCUGUUCGCCAUUUAAAGUGGUACGCGAGCUGGGUUUAGAACGUCGUGAGACAGUUCGGUCCCUAUCUGCCGUGGGCGCUGGAAGAUUGAGAGGGGCUGCUCCUAGUACGAGAGGACCGGAGUGGACGCACCACUGGUGUUCGGGUUGUCAUGCCAAUGGCAUUGCCCGGUAGCUACGUGCGGAAGAGAUAACCGCUGAAAGCAUCUAAGCGGGAAACUUGCCUCGAGAUGAGUCUUCCCUGAGGCCUAGAGCCUCCUGAAGGGACGUUAAAGACGAUGACGUUGAUAGGUCGGGUGUGUAAGCGCUGCGAGGCGUUGAGCUAACCGAUACUAAUGACCCGUGAGACUUAACCUUACAACACC
rnacentral:rRNA from 1 species